AUUUGGGUAGCUUAUUAUAAGAGUAUAGUAUUGAAGAUACUAGGGAAGUGGUUUACUCUCAGAUA
rnacentral:tRNA from 1 species